UGGCUCAGGACGAACGCUGGCGGUAUGCUUAACACAUGCAAGUCGAACGAGAAGGAAGAGCUUGCUCUUCCUGAAAGUGGCGAACGGGUGAGUAACGCGUGGGUAACCUACCCUUUGGAAAGGAAUAGCCUCGGGAAACUGGGAGUAAUGCCUUAUAAGAUACGUUUGUCGCAUGGCAUUUGUAUUAAACGCUCCGGCGCCAUAGGAUGGACCCGCGUCCCAUUAGCUAGUUGGUGAGAUAACAGCUCACCAAGGCCACGAUGGGUAACCGGUCUGAGAGGGCGAACGGUCACACUGGAACUGAGACACGGUCCAGACUCCUACGGGAGGCAGCAGUGGGGAAUAUUGCGCAAUGGGGGCAACCCUGACGCAGCAAUACCGCGUGAGUGAAGAAGGUUUUCGGAUCGUAAAGCUCUGUUAUUGGGGAAGAAAAAAAGACGGUACCCAAGAAGAAAGUUCCGGCUAACUACGUGCCAGCAGCCGCGGUAAUACGUAGGGAACAAGCGUUGUCCGGAUUUACUGGGCGUAAAGGGCACGCAGGCGGUUUUUUAAGUCAGAUGUGAAAGGCCACAGCUCAACUGUGGACAUGCAUUUGAAACUGAAAGACUUGAGUAUUGGAGAGGCAAGUGGAAUUCCUAGUGUAGCGGUGAAAUGCGUAGAUGUUAGGAGGAACACCGGUGGCGAAGGCGGCUUGCUGGACAAAUACUGACGCUGAUGGCUCAGGACGAACGCUGGCGGUAUGCUUAACACAUGCAAGUCGAACGAGAAGGAAGAGCUUGCUCUUCCUGAAAGUGGCGAACGGGUGAGUAACGCGUGGGUAACCUACCCUUUGGAAAGGAAUAGCCUCGGGAAACUGGGAGUAAUGCCUUAUAAGAUACGUUUGUCGCAUGGCAUUUGUAUUAAACGCUCCGGCGCCAUAGGAUGGACCCGCGUCCCAUUAGCUAGUUGGUGAGAUAACAGCUCACCAAGGCCACGAUGGGUAACCGGUCUGAGAGGGCGAACGGUCACACUGGAACUGAGACACGGUCCAGACUCCUACGGGAGGCAGCAGUGGGGAAUAUUGCGCAAUGGGGGCAACCCUGACGCAGCAAUACCGCGUGAGUGAAGAAGGUUUUCGGAUCGUAAAGCUCUGUUAUUGGGGAAGAAAAAAAGACGGUACCCAAGAAGAAAGUUCCGGCUAACUACGUGCCAGCAGCCGCGGUAAUACGUAGGGAACAAGCGUUGUCCGGAUUUACUGGGCGUAAAGGGCACGCAGGCGGUUUUUUAAGUCAGAUGUGAAAGGCCACAGCUCAACUGUGGACAUGCAUUUGAAACUGAAAGACUUGAGUAUUGGAGAGGCAAGUGGAAUUCCUAGUGUAGCGGUGAAAUGCGUAGAUGUUAGGAGGAACACCGGUGGCGAAGGCGGCUUGCUGGACAAAUACUGACGCUGA
rnacentral:rRNA from 1 species